ACUGUCUGGGCCUCAUGUGGAAAAACCAAUGAUGGAAUUGGGUCCGUAACAAAAUUCCCCACAUUCUGGUGAAGUGUCACCGGCGCGUGACCACCACGCGCCGGCCGUUGACCGGCCGUUGACCGGCGGCGAUUUUCCAACGGUGUCAGAAAUUUAUAAUUUUUCACAGGCAGAUGCGGAAUUUCAUGUUGAUCAUCACGGUAUGUUCCGUUUUCCGAAAUGAGUUCAGGAUUGGCCGGAAUCUGCG
rnacentral:lncRNA from 1 species